GUUGACUACACAGACAUAAGAGAACACAGCGAUCUCGUUAUUUUACCAAAUGUCAUCAAUAACUGAUAAUAUUGACUGAUAUUAAAAGCUUUUUUGUAUAUAAACCACAAAAAAAGAUGCUUCUUUUUUAAUGAAAUCUUGCCUACCCCACCUUUAACCGAAAAAUAGGUUAUUACGAUUCCAGAGACAUUGAACAGAAAACACCUGACAACUUUUGCCUGUGAGUAUAAAAAGAAGCAGAAAUGACUGACAUAUAUGGUAACCUGGUUUCUCUUCCGUUUUGAUUUGCUCACUAGUUUUUUCUGAGAGGAAAUCUUCAUCAGUAAUCGUAUGUAACACACUGCGGUAUAAAAACUACAUCAAACAGAGCCGCGUCUUCUCCGCUGUUCCUCCUUUUAAACAAGAUCCAGCAGAUUAAAGAGCGACUCUGAAGCUGAGGAGGUUGAGGAUGGCAGGUUGGAGGUAAAAAAAAAAAAAAAACAGGUUUGAAUAUUAAAUUUGGCUUUUAUCACAUUGUUGCAGAUACCUGUGUGAUGUGUGAGAGAUGAGGCUCCUCUCCGCUGAGUGUCAAGUGUCAGAGUGAAUUUCUGUGUGAGCAGAGGAAACACAGAAAGGCAGUUUGAUCUCGACAAAGUGCAAUUAGUGUCAAAACAGCUCAGGGUGGAGGGGAGAUGGUUCCUGCUGAUCUGAGGGUGAUGACAGGGUGGAGGCGGGGGGACUGGGGUGUACCUGCAUGAUGAAAUGAGCUCACUGGAUUGAAAUACAGCAAUCCAAGGUGUUUGUGUCUUUGCACAGGUAAGUAUAGGGAGGUAAUGGAAAUCAUCUGAUCUUUCCCCAUCUCUCUGUGGCAAUACAGGCUUUUUCUCCGUCUGAGCUGUUGGUUGAAACUGGAAUUUAAGGUGCAUCAUUCCCCGGCAAACAUCCACUAUAUCUAUCACUCAGAUUGAUGACUGCCUCAGUGGAAGAUCUGCAGCCUCUCAGUUCCUAACCUCAUUAUCUAUGCAGUGAUCUGAGUGGGCGGGAUGUUUCAGUAAUGAGGCACUGCUCUGAUUGGCUGAGACGGGGCUGCAGUCCAGUGCAGAUAAAUGCAAAGGUGUCUGCAGAGAAGUAUGACAGUCAAGGUGGUACCGCAUUAGGAACAGGCACGACUCUGGAGUGGAAAUCACCACAUGGGCUCGAAAGCACCUUUAUAAAUAAUAGGUGUAGGAGCCAUAAUGUUGCUUAGCUUAUCGGUUAUCCUGUGUUGAAUUACUUAAGUCUGGUUGUCAUUGGUUUCGCUGAAAUUUUUGUUGACCAUGCUUUAUGUUCUUUGUUUUGCAGUGAUUCAUGUCGCAAAGUGAACACAUAUUACAUCGGAUGUGCGCGUCACUGUGGAAGCGUUUGUUGUGUUAUUAAAGCUCUGAAAACUGGGUGCUUCUUUGAGACAGCAGCGGCGCGUCACACAGAUAUACAGGACCUAGUCUCUGCCUCAGUUGACUUUUUUAAAGGUUUUAGGAAAGCCGCAAUAUCCCACCCUCGUUGUACAACUGGAGCGCAGCAUAAGCUCCGCCUGCUGUUCCGGAGUGGAUCUGCAUGCGGUGGAAUCCCUGGGUGACAGUCAAGGUGGCACCGAAUUAGGAACAGGCAUGAC